CCUACGGGUGGCAGCAGUGGGGAAUAUUGCACAAUGGGCGCAAGCCUGAUGCAGCCAUGCCGCGUGUGCGAAGAAGGCCUUCGGGUUGUAAAGCACUUUCAGCGGGGAGGAAGGCGGUGAGGUUAAUAACCUCAUCGAUUGACGUUACCCGCAGAAGAAGCACCGGCUAACUCCGUGCCAGCAGCCGCGGUAAUACGGAGGGUGCAAGCGUUAAUCGGAAUUACUGGGCGUAAAGCGCACGCAGGCGGUCUGUCAAGUCGGAUGUGAAAUCCCCGGGCUCAACCUGGGAACUGCAUUCGAAACUGGCAGGCUAGAGUCUUGUAGAGGGGGGUAGAAUUCCAGGUGUAGCGGUGAAAUGCGUAGAGACCUGGAGGAAUACCGGUGGCGAAGGCGGCCCCCUGGACAAAGACUGACGCUCAGGUGCGAAAGCGUGGGGAGCAAACAGGAUUAGAUACCCUUGUAGUC
rnacentral:rRNA from 1 species